GUCUCGUGGGCUCGGAGAUGUGUAUAAGAGACAGGCUGGGAAGCUAUGUGCGGAAGGGAUAAGUGCUGAAAGCAUCUAAGCAUGAAGCCCCCCUCAAGAUGAGAUUUCCCAUAGCGAAAGCUAGUAAGAUCCCUGAAAGAUGAUCAGGUUGAUAGGUUCGAGGUGGAAGCAUGGUGACAUGUGGAGCGGACGAAUACUAAUAGAUCGAGGACUUAACCAU
rnacentral:rRNA from 1 species